rnacentral:lncRNA from 1 species
GACUAACUGCUCUUAUGUCAGGAAGGUUUAUAAUUGUAUAUGGGGAAGUGACUCUAAACUGUGAAUUUUCUUUAUAAGAAAUAUUAAUAUAGCGGAAUUUAUUUCUCUGCAAUCUUGAGAAUUAGGUUUCAGGGACUAUAUACCAGUCCUUUUGGGAAUAGAUAUGAGAGGCAGCGUAGCUGGUACAGAAACAGUAGAGGUUUGGCAGUGAAUUCUUAUGGGAGGAAAAGAUACAAGGGAAGGCAAACUUUGGGCUUAACGUAUAGUUAUCAAGGACAGGAAAUAGAUGGCAUAUCUUUUGGUCUGAGGUUAUUGUGUAAAGAGCUAGUGUCAUGUAACCGUUUGUAUUAAGGAUAGGUUGGGGAACGUAUUGCAGUGGGGUUCCGUCAUGGGCACAUUUAACUUAUGUGAAUUCAACUGUAUAUAAUAGGC